rnacentral:rRNA from 1 species
UACGUAGGGUGCAAGCGUUAAUCGGAAUUACUGGGCGUAAAGCGUGCGCAGGCGGUUGUGCAAGACAGGUGUGAAAUCCCCGGGCUUAACCUGGGAACUGCACUUGUGACUGCACGGCUGGAGUACGGCAGAGGGGGAUGGAAUUCCGCGUGUAGCAGUGAAAUGCGUAGAUAUCAGGAGGAACACCGGUGGCGAAGGCGCUCAUCUGGCCCAAUACUGACGCUGCAGCGCGAAAGCUAGGGGAGCAAACGGG